CCUACGGGAGGCAGCAGUGAGGAAUAUUGGUCAAUGGACGAGAGUCUGAACCAGCCAAGUAGCGUGAAGGAUGACUGACCUAUGGGUUGUAAACUUCUUUUAUAUGGGAAUAAAAUGUUCCACGUGUGGGAUUUUGUAUGUACCAAAUGAAUCAGGAUUGGCUAACUCCGUGCCAGGAGCCGCGUUAAGACGGAGGAUCCGAGCGUUAACCGGGUGUCUUGGGGUUAAAGGGAGCGUAGGUGGAUUGUUAAGUCAGUUGUGAAAUGUUGCGGCUCAACCGUAAAAUUGCAGUUGAAACUGGCAGUCUUGAGUACAGUAGAGGUGGGCGGAAUUCGUGGUGUAGCGGUGAAAUGCGUAGAUAUCACGAAGAUCUCCGAUUGCGAAGGCAGCUCACUGGCCUGCAACUGACACUGAGGCUCGAAAGUGUGGGUAUCAAACAGGAUUAGAUACCCGAGUAGUC
rnacentral:rRNA from 1 species